rnacentral:rRNA from 1 species
AGGAUGAACGCUGGCGGCGUGCCUAACACAUGCAAGUCGAACGUCCUGUCUCGCAAGAGGCAGGGAGUGGCGGACGGGUGAGUACCACGUGGGUUAUCUACCGUGAGGUGAGGAAUACCGGCGAGAAAUCGCCGACAAGACCGCAUAGCCUCGGUGCAAGCCGAGGAAAGCUUUCUCGAGAGAGGGAGCGCCACACGAGGAGCCUGCGCCCGAUUAGCUAGCUGGUGGAGUAACGGUUCACCAGGGCGACGAUCGGUAGCUGGUCUGAGAGGACGAUCAGCCACACUGGGAUUGAGAACGGCCCAGACUCCUACGGGGGGCAGCAGUGAGGAAUUUUCGUCAAUGGGGCAACCUGAACGAGCAACGCCGCGUGCAGGAAGAAGGUUUUCGGAUCGUAAACUGCUUUUCGUCGGGAAGAGAAUGGACGGUACCCGAGGAAUCACGCCCGGCUAACUACGCGCCAGCAGCCGCGGUAA